rnacentral:rRNA from 1 species
UACAGAGGGUGCGAGCGUUAAUCGGAAUUACUGGGCGUAAAGGGCGCGUAGGUGGUAGAGCUGGUGGUUAUGUGAAAGCCCUGGGCUUAACCUGGGAAGUGCAUACCAAACGACUUUACUGGAAUACAGGAGAGGGUAGCGGAAUUUCCGGUGUAGCGGUGAAAUGCGUAGAGAUCGGAAGGAACGUCAAUGGCGAAGGCAGCUACCUGGACUGAUAUUGACACUGAGGCGCGAAAGCGUGGGGAGCGAACAGG